UUUGAUGUUCAAUACACAACAAAAAUGGGAGAAUUCAGAGAACUCAUAGCCUCCACAAGGGAUCAAAUACACAAUGAAUGCAAGCCAGUUCAGAAUCUUCUCUUCUCAGAAUGUAAGCUUGGGAUUAAUGACUUGCCUAAUCACGUUUAUGAGGUGGAUUGGGAUGUGAUAUUGAUCGAUGGGCCUCGAGGGGAUGGACCAGAAGGGCCAGGGAGGAUGACACCAAUCUUCACAUCUGGGGUUCUAGCUAGAAGCAAGAAGGGAGGAAAUGGGAAGACUCAUAUAUUUGUGCAUGAUUACUACAGAGAUGUGGAGAAAGUAUAUGGAGAUGAGUUCUUGUGCAGAGAGAACUUGGUGGAAGCUAAUGACAUGCUUGCUCAUUUUGUGGUGGAGAAGAUGGAUGAGAAUAGCUACCAAUUCUGCAGCAACAAAACAUCAAAAUCAGCUUCUUCUUCUUCAUCAUCCUAAUUGUUUUU
rnacentral:misc_RNA from 1 species